rnacentral:rRNA from 1 species
GGUGGGGUAAGAGCCUACCAAGGCGACGAUCGGUAGCUGGUCUGAGAGGACGAUCAGCCACACUGGGAUUGAGAACGGCCCAGACUCCUACGGGGGGCAGCAGUGAGGAAUUUUCCGCAAUGGACGAAAGUCUGACGGAGCAACGCCGCGUGCAGGAGGACGCUUUUCGGAGUGUAAACUGCUUUUCCCAGGGAAGAGGUAGGACGGUACCUGGGGAAGAAGCCCCGGCUAACUACGUGCCAGCAGCCGCGGUAAUACGUAGGGGGCGAGCGUUGUUCGGAAUUAUUGGGCGUAAAGGGUGCGUAGGCGGUUUGGUAAGUCUUAUGUGAAAUCUAUGGGCUCAACUCAUAGACUGCAUGAGAAACUGCCGGGCUUGAGUAUGGGAGAGGUGAGUGGAAUUCCUGGUGUAGCGGUGAAAUGCGUAGAUAUCAGGAGGAACACCUGUGGCGAAAGCGGCUCACUGGACCAUAACUGACGCUGAUGCACGAAAGCUAGGGGAGCAAACAGGAUUAGAUACCCUGGUAGUCCUAGCCCUAAACGAUGACUGCUCGGUGGUGACGGGUACCCAAUCCCCGCCGUGCCGUAGCUUACCGCGUUAAGCAGUCCCGCCUGGGGAAGUACGGUC